GAUGAAGAACGUAGCGAAAUGCGAUAAUUAAUGUGAAUUGCAGAAUUCCGUGAAUCAUCGAGUCUUUGAACGCACAUUGCGCCUCAUGGCAUUCCGUGAGGCAUGCCUAUCUCAGCGUUAGAAAAUAUUCUCAAAUUUUAGUUUUGUGCUAAAAUUUGGAUCAUGUCAAGGAAGCUAUUACUAUUAUUGUGAUCGCUCUUUGGAAAUUGAUAGGUCUUUGAGUUGCUACUCAUAGAACGUGAUGAAUCUUUCUUCGUUCUAUUGUAAUUCACUCUGGUAGUCCUAAAACCUGUAUGCCUGUGGCAUAUCUUUUAAUUUGACCUGAGAUUGGGUAGGGAUACCCGCUGAACUUAAGCAUAUCAAUAAGCGGAGGA
rnacentral:misc_RNA from 1 species